CAGUAGCCGCGGGAAUACAGAGGGUGCGAGCGUUAAUCGGAUUUACUGGGCGUAAAGCGUGCGUAGGCGGCUUCUUAAGUCGGAUGUGAAAUCCCUGAGCUUAACUUAGGAAUUGCAUUCGAUACUGGGAAGCUAGAGUAUGGGAGAGGAUGGUAGAAUUCCAGGUGUAGCGGUGAAAUGCGUAGAGAUCUGGAGGAAUACCGAUGGCGAAGGCAGCCAUCUGGCCUAAUACUGACGCUGAGGUACGAAAGCAUGGGGAGCAAACAGGAUUAGAUACCCGAGUAGUCCCUGUCUCUAUACA
rnacentral:rRNA from 1 species